UGGCGGCGUGCCUAAUACAUGCAAGUCGAACGCACUCUCGUUUAGAUUGAAGGAGCUUGCUCCUGAUUGAUAAACAUUUGAGUGAGUGGCGGACGGGUGAGUAACACGUGGGUAACCUGCCCUAAAGUGGGGGAUAACAUUUGGAAACAGAUGCUAAUACCGCAUAAAACCUAACACCGCAUGGUGUAGGGUUGAAAGAUGGUUUCGGCUAUCACUUUAGGAUGGACCCGCGGUGCAUUAGUUAGUUGGUGAGGUAAAGGCUCACCAAGACCGUGAUGCAUAGCCGACCUGAGAGGGUAAUCGGCCACACUGGGACUGAGACACGGCCCAGACUCCUACGGGAGGCAGCAGUAGGGAAUCUUCCACAAUGGACGAAAGUCUGAUGGAGCAACGCCGCGUGAGUGAAGAAGGUUUUCGGAUCGUAAAACUCUGUUGUUGGAGAAGAAUGUAUCUGAUAGUAACUGAUCAGGUAGUGACGGUAUCCAACCAGAAAGCCACGGCUAACUACGUGCCAGCAGCCGCGGUAAUACGUAGGUGGCAAGCGUUGUCCGGAUUUAUUGGGCGUAAAGCGAGCGCAGGCGGUUUCUUAAGUCUGAUGUGAAAGCCUUCGGCUCAACCGAAGAAGUGCAUCGGAAACUGGGAAACUUGAGUGCAGAAGAGGACAGUGGAACUCCAUGUGUAGCGGUGAAAUGCGUAGAUAUAUGGAAGAACACCAGUGGCGAAGGCGGCUGUCUGGUCUGUAACUGACGCUGAGGCUCGAAAGCAUGGGUAGCAAACAGGAUUAGAUACCCUGGUAGUCCAUGCCGUAAACGAUGAGUGCUAGGUGUUGGAGGGUUUCCGCCCUUCAGUGCCGCAGCUAACGCAUUAAGCACUCCGCCUGGGGAGUACGACCGCAAGGUUGAAACUCAAAGGAAUUGACGGGGGCCCGCACAAGCGGUGGAGCAUGUGGUUUAAUUCGAAGCAACGCGAAGAACCUUACCAGGUCUUGACAUCCUUUGACCACUCUAGAGAUAGAGCUUUCCCUUCGGGGACAAAGUGACAGGUGGUGCAUGGUUGUCGUCAGCUCGUGUCGUGAGAUGUUGGGUUAAGUCCCGCAACGAGCGCAACCCUUAUUACUAGUUGCCAGCAUUUAGUUGGGCACUCUAGUGAGACUGCCGGUGACAAACCGGAGGAAGGUGGGGGACGACGUCAAAUCAUCAUGCCCCUUAUGACCUGGGCUACACACGUGCUACAAUGGAUGGUACAACGAGUUGCGAGACCGCGAGGUUUAGCUAAUCUCUUAAAACCAUUCUCAGUUCGGAAUUGUAGGCUGCAACUCGCCUACAUGAAGCCGGAAUCGCUAGUAAUCGCGGAUCA
rnacentral:rRNA from 2 species